rnacentral:lncRNA from 1 species
AAAAUUUAUAGAGCAUAAUUUUUUAGAGUUAUUUAAUUUUCUUCAAUUGUUUUUGAUCUAUUUGAUUUUAUCAUUUGUCAUCGGGUGUUGAAAGAGUCUCUGUCAACCUCCUUCAUGAUCGUGCUCGCAGGAGGAAAAAUACCGAUCGUACCUUGGGGUGUUAUUUCCGGUUAAUCCCGCACGUAUAGAUGGGAAUACGUCUUAGGGCAGUGCCUCGCACAUUUCCGGAUAAGAUCAAAUUUUUAUUUGGAUAUUUGUGUUUAUCUAUAAGUUGAUUUAUUUAUUUUCAUCAUAAAACUAGUUAGAUUUUAGUUACAAUCGAAUUUUUCGUUGCAGUUUUCCCCACCAAGAAAAACACUACAAUUAGAGUCCUAUAUUAUAA